CACUACUGAAGAGUAGAAAGUAGGCAAAGGGAAAAAAUUGGAGCUUAGUAAAUAAAUCAUGUGUCUCAUCUGAACCAUUUGAUAUACUAAUAUGAGAGAUCUAUAUAAACCAGUUCUUACAAGUAAUACGAACAAAAUAUAGUCAUGUGCUAAGUGUUACUAAGAAUUAAAAAAAGCAAUCAGGAGGGCGGUGCUUUGAAAGAAAAGCCUUUCCAGGAGUUAAGGUCUCAGUUGCACUUUGAAAAUUAGUCAGUGAUUGCUUAGACAAGGGCAUUUCCAAGUCUUAAAAACAGGAUAUUAAAUGGUAGAAGGUUAUAAAAGUGAAUAGAUGUUUGGAAAUUUUACUAGUCAAGUGUGGCUGAAGUGGUCAGAGUUCAAUGUUGGGACAGGGUGUAAUGUGGGAUACAGAUGGUGAAAUAAGUUGAGAGGAGUCCUAAGCCAUGGUAGAGAAUUUAAGCUUGUUUUACAGGAGGAGUUGUACAACUGAAAGGAGCAACACUUUAAUUGCAUUAUAAAACUGCACAAUGAGGCAGUCCUGUUUCAAAAAUACUGAAAACCUGUUCAAGAGGAUCAAAGCAAGGAAUGAUAUAAAUCCAAUUUGUAGCAUAGAAGAUGAUGCUGACAAGAAAGUGGAAUGUUUAUAUAGAAAACUGUCUUGAAAGAAGAGAUAAUAUCUCCUUCCUCAGCGAGGGCAAAUAUACUUACUGUCCAAUAAAAUGAAGACAAUACUUUCCUCCAGAACAAAAGAGGAACAAUUUACCAUAAUCCUGGAGCAAUUCCUACCAGAAAUGUGUUGGAAGAAGUGAAUCCACACAAUGAAAGGAACUGACCCAUGUAGAACACUGUGAUACACCAACGAAUCUCUCUCAAGGAAGGCCUUGUUGAUUCAUAUUCUGGGAGUGUUUUCUGAGCAGAGUCUUCAGCUGUCAGCCCUUCACAGAUUGCCCACAGUCACCCCUUUCUGGGGUGGCUCACAUCCAACAAAUUAUACAUGUAGGAGUAAAAAAGUAUGGUCAUCUUGGCCCAGGGAAAUAUCUUUUACUUUAAUAUGAGAGGUAUUUGAACAUGUUUAAACAUUGGUGGAAAGAAGACAGUAAAAAGCAGGGGAAAUUUCUUCAAAGAGCAGAAGGCAGAAGUGCUAUGAAAUUCACGUUACAGGUGAUAUUGUAACAAAAGGUCAUGUUGUAUUAGUCCUACAUAAUAGGCAAGAUUGACUUCAAUAUUUUCUUAAAAAGCAUCGCCGUUAGCUUUACUGAAUUUAUAAAAUCACAUUUAGAACAUAUUGUAAUAAUUACAUUUGAAUCAUUUAAUAUGGCCUUCAUUUGAAUUUUCUACGCAUCACAAUGAUUUGGUAUUGUCAUCAAGUCAUCCGUAUGAUAGUUUUAACCCCCAAUUCAGGUAUCUGCAACCUCAUAUAAGACUGUAACUAUGCUUAUAUUUUUAUUCAGAUUUUUUUUCCUAUGAAUUUUGACUGACUUAGGCCAUAGUUGUUGGCAAAAAUCUUGCAUUGGCUCCGGGCUUCAUCCCAAAUACUGUCUUUAUGUAGAACUAAAACAAAACUUCUCAUAUGUGGAUCACUGGGGAAUGAGGCUGAUUUGGAUAUAUGGGAAUCCUGAAAGCCUGGCUCUCUUUUCAGCCAUGUGGCCACUUGCUCUCCUCCCUUCUGUUUAGCCCCAUCUCUGCAUUGGGAACUGGUCCCACCACUGUUUCACGCCAAUUCAUCUUUGGAUCCAGCUGGCCCUAACUCUACUGCUAGCUCUAGUUGUUCCAAGUUUUUAUGCCAGACUAAGUCUUCCCUGUCCAAUAUGGUUGGCCCUAUCUUUGUUUCCGGUCUCAAGCCAGACCCAAUUUAUGCAGAUAAACCAGAAAUUUGGGUGUGGAUCAACAGGUUGGGGCAGAUAUUUGGAGUUGUGCUGUAAUCCAUCAAAUUUAGCAACACAUUGUUCAUAAGACGGGCUACAUUGUUUUUUUAAAGGGAAAUCCUUUCCUGUCAUUCUUUUCUCUUCACUGUUUCCAUUUUCCACCGGCUGAAAAAACAAAUGUGGGUGGAUAUGGUCCUGGACAUUCUUUUGAGUUAGACUGGUGCCAUAAAACAUCCCCACCAUGAUAACAUAUUUUGUUUAAAUUUAAAUUUAUCAUAAAGCAUCAGUCAUUUCUAGAAAGUUGCUACCAUACACUUUGGUUUCUCUGACUCCUAGGGAACUCUCAAGCCAAGUAAGAAUGUUGAUAAGCAGUGCAGAAGGAUUCUCUCUGCCAUCUGUACUUUGGGGAUUUUUAGUCUUAAACAUCCAGCAGACAAUUAGGUAACUUGUUUGAAAUACAAAGCAAAGUUGUAACUGCAAAGACUCCCAGUGCCCCUCUUCUUAUCCUGCCAGUGUUGAAGCCAUUUUUUUUAAAAAAAGUCAAAUUUGAAGAUAAGUGAAGUAAUAUUUUACUGGAAUAUAAUAAUGAUGCUAAUACAGCUAUUUCAGUCUAUUUUAUAAAUAUAUUGCUCACCUUUAUUACAUAAAUCUUAUUUAAGUAACAAUGCAAAUGCAAAUUAAAUAAAUCAAAUGAUUCUAUUUAAAGACACUCUAAUGAUUUAUAAAAGGAGUUCUUUGAGAACCUAUAGAAACUAAAUUAAAUAUACCUAUAUGUAUCAAUUUGUGAAAUAAGUAUAUUUUUUUGCCUUCCUUAAAGCCAGGUUUAAAAAAAAAACAGGCCAGAAUUUUCACCAUCUGUUUCUAAACUGCACAGAUGGUUGCAAAUUUAAAUCUGUUGUAAAAGUGUAUUGCUUACUGUUCUGUCUACAGAGUUUUCUGAUAAAGUGUCAAAUAAAACAAUCGAUAGUUAAUAGUACCAAUAACUUCAACUACCUAAAUGUGGUAUUAGAACCCACUGACCCAUGCAGAAUCUUAGUCUUUUCCUGAGUUAAAUCCCUGAUAGUUGCUGCUCGGCUAGUUUUUUCCCCCUAGAUUCAAAAUAUUCUGCCAGGCAAAUUUCCAUGUGUCCCAUUACCCAAAUUAAAUGUGUUCAAUAUUAAAGUGGCGAUGUAGCAUACAUAAUUGAAUGGCAUGAUAUGAAAUUUACAUACAUAAGGGUACCUAUAAUUGUUCGCUGUGAGAAGUAAUACUUUCUUAUCGCUGAUAUGAAAUUGAAAAUAUAAAUUGAUCUAUACCAAUUUAGUCACCUACGGCUAUUUUCGUUUGUGUGUUGGUUUUGUUUUGUGUGGUAAUGGUAGUUGAGGGAAAGAAUUAGCUACCCCACAACUAGUUUGCAAUUUGGAAGAGUCAGCAACCAAAUCUUGCCACAUAUAACAAACAGCACACACGUACUGCAAAGCAGAAAAAUAGUUAUAAGUCUUGUUCUUUAAACUUGAUGUAGCUUUGACUUUUUAUCUCUUUUUCUUUCCUGGUCCUUGGCAACCUUGACAAACACUUUUUCUAAAGUUUCCACCUGAAUAAAAUUUAACAGCAUUCAAGUUUAAGGAUUCAGCUGAACAUGUACUUGAGUCAGGAGACCAUGAAUCCUUUAAAGUAGGCAAAGGACAUAAAAUCCUUUACAGUUUAAGCAUGGAUCACUUUCCCUAAAUAUAGAGGCCAAUGGACUUGUUCGCUUCUUAUGCCCCAUUUAUGUGUGUAUGUGAGGAAUGUCUGUCUGAUAUUUUAUUCAACUUACAUUUCUUAACUAUAUCACCAAUAAGAUGACUGGGGUAUAUAUAUAUAUUUUGCUAUAUAUUAUCCUAGUAAACAGUCCAUUAAUUAUCCACAAAAAAUUUAUUUCUAACAUUCAUUGUGUGGAUAGCAGAACCUCUGGCAUAAUGUUGAGUUGGAAAGCUGCCUUCUUCUUCUGAGUGCUACUUCACUACCCCUGGCAUGUAAAUUUCUGAUUACUCACUGAGGGUAUAAUAUAAACCAUCUAUCUACACAUUUAUAUACCCUACACAUUUAUCACUAGACUAGUUUGGCUGUAUUUGGAGGGAGGGAAAGCAUCUUAUAUACCAAGUAGACCCUUUAUUGGCAUCUUAAUUUUCUUGAAAUUCUUUCUCCCCUUCCUCCUCCUUGUGAAAGAUACUGAAGAACUGAAAAAAUUUAGCUGACUCUAGCAAGAUCUUAGCCCCUUGAUCCUACCCUCUUCCUGAUCAUAAAUCAACCAGUUAACUGCAGUCUUAGGCUUAAGGUCUUGCAACCUGUCCCAUCAUGAAUGCAUCCUUUCGUUCCCUGUGCCUUCCGAGAAUUUUAACAGUAGCAAUUCUGGAAACAGAACUGGACUUUGAUCUUCCUCAGUUUGUUCUGUAAAAUCUUUAAGCAUCUUAUUUCUCUGUAGAAUAUUUAUUUUGAACUAUUUUCACUUUGUGACAUUAUUAAUAGAUAAUCGAGCCAACAGUUAUUGCUUAGUUUUUCUCCUUCCUUUUUGGUAAAGAUUUUCUAUAUGUGUAGUUGCCUCUGUAUUUAUUGCAGCUAGUGUAAAGAAAAAGAUAUUAUGUUUCUGAAUACUCUAUAAUGUAUUUAUUAAUAAAGACUGAUAUAGUGCUCAUCACACACUGUUGUGAGACAUGUUUUUAUAAUAUUUUCUUAGCCUCUUUGCUGAAAACUCCAUCUUGUCCUUCCUUACU